AUUGAACGCUGGCGGCAUGCCUUACACAUGCAAGUCGAACGGCAGCACGGGUGCUUGCACCUGGUGGCGAGUGGCGAACGGGUGAGUAAUACAUCGGAACGUACCUUAUCGUGGGGGAUAACGCAGCGAAAGCUGUGCUAAUACCGCAUACGCCCUGAGGGGGAAAGCGGGGGAUCGCAAGACCUCGCGCGAUUAGAGCGGCCGAUGCCUGAUUAGCUUGUUGGUGGGGUAAAAGCCCACCAAGGCGACGAUCAGUAGCUGGUCUGAGAGGACGAUCAGCCACACUGGGACUGAGACACGGCCCAGAAUCCUACGGGAGGCAGCAGUGGGGAAUUUUGGACAAUGGGGGCAACCCUGAUCCAGCAAUGCCGCGUGAGUGAAGAAGGCCUUCGGGUUGUAAAGCUCUCUUGUCAGGGAAGAAACACCGGCUCUAACACAGUCUGGGAAUGACGGUGCCUGAAGAAUAAGCACCGGCUAACUACGUGCCAGCCGCCGCCGUAAAAC
rnacentral:rRNA from 1 species